rnacentral:rRNA from 1 species
AUUGAACGCUGGCGGCAGGCCUAACACAUGCAAGUCGAGCGAGCGGCGGACGGGUGAGUAAUGUAUGGGGACUGCCCGAUAGAGGGGGAUAACUACUGGAAACGGUAGCUAAUACCGCAUACUAUCGGAUAACCCAUAUGGGAUUAGCUAGUAGGUGAGGUAAGGGCUCACCUAGGCGACGAUCCCUAGCUUGUCUGAGAGGAUGAUCAGCAACACUGGGACUGAGACACGGCCCAUACCCCUGCGGAGGCAGCAGGGGGGAAUAUUGCACAAGGGGCGCAAGCCUGAUGCAGCCAUGCCGCGUGUAUGAAGAAGGCCCGAGGGGUGGAAAGUACUUUCAGUCGGGAGGCGUUACCGACAGAAGAAGCACCGGCUAACUCCGUGCCAGCAGCCGCGGUAAUUC